GGUUGAAAAGCCUAGAGUAAUAUCCGAUAGGAGUGUCUCUGUUCUUUGGUUGCUGGUCUAAGGUGAUCGGAUUUAUUUCGAGAACCUCGGGUCGACCAUCGGGGAACAUUGACCGUGUCAUUUCUGGUUAUCUACGAUCGGGGGUGUCACACCGCCUCCCUUUCGCCUUUACGCUUCUCCGCCUCUCUUGCGCCUCUCCGUCUGUCUUUCACGAGAUAACGUUGACGAUGAAGCACUGGGCGUCUCUCUCGGUUGAUCUUCUCGACGGACCUCGCUCGGUGCGUCUCUCCUCAAAUCGAAAGGUAAACAUCACGGACCUCCCUCGGUGUAGUUCAAUCAUGUAUGCCUUUGAUUUUGAUUAUUCUUGUUCUGUAGCAUGUUUUAAUCAUUUUAUCUGGUUGUUCAAUCAUGCAUGUCUCUCGGUGGAUGCACUGGGAAUGGAGAUUCUUUUCAAUCUUUAGGUGAAAUGGGCAUUGUAACUCUUCAGAGAUCCAUUCUUCACAAACUACAGAACGUGAGCGUGGGCAUGAAUUAACUUGAUCUAUCUUUGUUCUGUUUUGGUUAGUAUUAGUUUAACUUGACCACUUUUAUUGCAAGUUUGUUUCAAUUUUGAGUUCUUUGUCUCUUGAUUAUCUUAUAUGUGUGUGUCUUUGUCUCGUCAGGUGGAUGGCUCAAACAGACAUAAGGAAGGUUCAUCGGACAACUGAAGACAAUAAAAUACAGGUUAGUUUAAAAAUUUGUUCUGUUCUGAAAUGAUAUGUUCUUGUCUGGCUUUAGUAUAGCGUAAUUAAUGGUAUCUUUAGUGUUAGAUAAUUGUUGGGUGUUGGUAAUAAAUAGAUGUGAAGCCCUCUUUGUCCUUGAUUAUGGUUGAGUAAUGAAUGUGGUUUAGUAAUGAAAGUGUCAAGUCGUGUUUGUUUGUUGGUUGAAGGUCUUUCCCGUAAUGAAUGUGUUUAACGCUUUGAUUAUGGUUGAGUAAUGAAUGUGGUUUAGUAAUGAAAGUGUCAAGUCGUGAUAGUGUAGUUGGUUGGACCCGAAACUGGUGAAGAUGAAAGUGUCAAGUCGUAAGAGGAGGAAAGGUGAAGAAGGUGCACAUACAGCAGGCCCUGUCGCAGAUGGACCCGAAACUGGUGAAGAUGAUCAAGUCUCCAAUCGACCCAUAGGUGUUAAGGCAGCUAAAGCCCGUGGUAAGAGGACGAUGGUAGAGGGGAAGAACUUGGAUGGCUUUCAGACCAUGUGGAGCAUAAAGAAGGAGGAUUUAGCAAUCUAAGAAAAACUGUCAAAAAUGAGGAUCCUAGAGAAUCUCAUUGCUAAAGAAGAACUUGCUGAGUCUGAGGAAGCGUUGAAGCUAAAACUCAUUUCUGAGUUAAUGUCUAAUUAGUAUAAGUGGAGCUUCACGUGAAGUUAACAGAGACGAGGAGUGGUUGUCUUCUAUCACGGCAGGGUCAGUAGUCAGGAGGAGUAGUCAUGUUGUUGUCUUCAAGUGUAGUUGUGUCACGCUUUUGUAGUCAGGAGGAGUAGUCAUGUUGUUGUCUUAAAGUGUGGUUGUGUCACGCUUUUGUAGUCAGGAGUAGUAGUAAUGUUGUUUUCUUCUUUUGUCACGGGGUGUCUCAAAAAUUGGAGUCUUGUGUCACAUGGUUUUUAAUGUAUGAUCACGGAAUGGUUUGUAAUGUAUGAUCACGGAAUGGUUUGUGUCUCACAUGUAAACUCACCCAACAUUUGCAUUCUCUAUAUAAAGGCACCAAACUCAUUAUCUAUCAUUCACACAUUUCUCAUUGAUUCACCAAACAUCUCGCUUCUUCUCACAAUAAAACUUCUAAACAGAACUCAUUGAUUCACCCUUUUCUUCUCACAAAACAACUUCACAACCUAACGUUUGAUUCACAUCAUGUCUUCUUCUUUUCACAAACCUCGCUCGUUGAUUCACCAAACAUCUCGCUUCUUCUCACAAUAAAACUUCUAAACAAAACUCAUUGAUUCACCCUCUUCUUCUCACAAAACAACUUCACAACCCAACGUUUGAUUCACAUCAUCUCUUCUUCUUUUCACAAACCUCGCUCGUUGAUUCACCCUCUUUAUUUAUAUUUUUCAACCUCUGGUUAUAUGGCAUCUUCAUCAAACAAUUUAGAUGACUCAUUUGAUGAAGCUUUUGAUGAUGCAUUUGAUCAAUAUUUUGAUCAAACCUUGGAGCAACUUACCAUUCAACAAGAAGCAAAGAAAAAAAGAAAACAAAGAGUUUAUAUCGAAAGAAAUCGUGAAGAAGGGCACAUUCGAUUAUAGAAUGAUUAUUUCAGUGAAACUCCGACGUAUCCAGCACAUUUCUUCCGCCGCCGUUUUAGAAUGAACAAGCCGUUGUUCUUGAACAUUGUUGAUCGACUAUCCAACGAAGUUCAAUACUUUCUGGAUAAGAAAGAUGGUCUCGGAAGGAACAGUCUCUCUCCCAUUCAGAAAUGUACUGCGGCCAUUCGUGUCUUGGCAUAUGGUUCUGCGGCAGAUGCAGUCGACGAAUACCUCCGGCUCGGUGAAACAACAACUCGGUUAUGUGUACAAAAUUUUGUGGAAGGAAUAAUAGAUUUAUUUGGCGAUGAGUACCUAAGAAAACCAACACCAGCUGAUCUUCAAUGUCUACUUGAUAUUGGAGAGUAUCGUUGAUUUCCCGGGAUGAUAGGAAGCAUCGAUUGUAUGCAUUGGGAGUGAAAAAAAUUGUCCCACCGCUUGGAAAGGGCAAUAUUCUCGUGGUUCGGGUAAACCAACGAUCGUUUUAGAAGCGGUUGCUUCGUAUGAUCUCUGGAUAUGGCAUGCGGUUUUUGGAGCUCCAGGUACUUUAAAUGAUAUCAAUGUUCUUGAUCGCUCACCUGUUUUUGAUGACAUAAUAAAGGGUCAAGCUCCGCUAGUUACCUUCUCUGUUAAUGGAAGGGAGUAUCAUAUGGCUUAGUAUCUCACCGAUGGUAUUUAUCCGAAAUGGGCAACUUUUAUCCAAUCUAUUCCACUACCACAAAGACCGAAAGCGGUUUUAUUUGCUCAACAUCAAGAAGCUGUCCGAAAAGAUGUCGAGCGUGCUUUUGGAGUCUUGCAAGCUCGCUUUGCCAUUGUUAAAAAUCCGGCGCUGUUUUGGGAUAAAGUCAAAAUUGGGAAGAUUAUGAGAGCAUGUAUCAUACUCCACAAUAUGAUAGUGGAAGAUGAACGAGAUCAACACACUCAAUUUAAUGUUUCAGAGUUCGAACAAGGAGAAGACAACGGAACUUCACAUGUCGAUUUAACAUAUUCUACAGAUAUCCCUACAAAUAUCGCAAAUAUGAUGGGUGCUCGAACAAGAAUUCGUGAUCGACAAAUGCAUCAACAACUCAAAAAUGAUUUGGUUGAACAUAUAUGGCAUAAAUAUGGAAAUGAUGAAGACAACAAUUGAUCUCAUAAGCUUCUUUCAAAUAAUUGUCGUUUAUUUUAUGAAUCUUUGUUUUUUUAUGUUCUUUUUUUUAAAUCUAUAUUUAAAUGUUGUCUUGUAAUAUAUUUUAUGUAUUAAAUAAAUUUGAAGUUAAAAAAAAUGUUUAAAAUUUUUAAGAUCCCUAAUAUAAGCAACUUGCAAUGGAGGAGGAAAAUUAUCAAGUUGCUUAGCUAAGUUGCUUACUAAAAAAAAUUCUUAAAAACCAAUAUUAUAUAAUUAAGCAACCCAUAAUCAGUUGUUGGGAUAAUGGUGGUCUUAGUGUAGGUUAUUUGGUCUGAGCUCUUUUCAUUCCGAUGAAGCAGUCGCCGAUUCACUUUCUGUGACGCCUUCCUUUUCCAUUUAUCUCACUCGCCCCACUCCGUAGCAUUAAUUCCAGCUCAACCUCUUCAUAUCUAACCGGUGGAAGGUCUUCUAUAUAAAGCUCAGCCUCUUAGAUAACAGCGGUCACUGACGUCGUCAAGGUUAUAUCUCUUCUCGGUAGAUCUAAAACUGGACAUGCUAGAUUCAGACAAGCUCCCGCGACAACAAAAACGGAAGGUGGAGGAAGAGAUUGGAAAACGGAGGAGAAGACCGGAACAGAAGCAACAUCUAUCGAGGUCGUGUUAAAGAGACAUAAAACAGAGCAGAACGGUGGAUCUACGUUUACGGUUUAUUUUCCGGCACCAGUCCAUCGACGUCCUCCUUAAUCAUACAACCACAGUCAGACAAAAAGAAUGGUUUGUUUCUGUGUAUUUUACAAAUAUUGUUUACGUGGACUAAACUCAUACACUCAACCAUCUUCCUAAUUCCUCUUUCUCUUACCACUCCAUCUUGAAAGAUUGGGAUUUGGGAGCCAAAAGACUUAUUUUUGGGUAUAAAUAUAUUCUGUUAGUAAUUACACAAACUUUUGUCCGAGACGAGACUUGAAUUGUUGUCUUGAUUCUUUCAUUUUGCAGUGGUAAGAGCUCCUGGUAUGGGUCUGUUAAAGAUUCUAUUGUCUAAACCGAGUUCUGUGGCUAAAGGUGUGUCGAUGCGGAAUGGUCUGGCUCUGCGUUUGAUGAGAGAGAAGAGAAAAUGGUUUUCAAAUUUUCUUGGAAGACAAAGCUUUUUGACUCAAAAUUCUUUUCAUUUGCAACAGAUGGAUGCAGACAGUUAAUCAACUUUUUUUUUAUAUUUAUGAUACAGAAACUGAAACCAUACCUUCACCUCUUACAUAUGUAGCAGGGUACUCCACAGCAUUUGCAGAAAGAGUUUUUGGGAAUCCUUGGUAGACAAUCUCUUAAGAGAGUUGACAAUGUGAUUAAAUGUUUCAGCUGUACAUUUGGAUUUGUGAGUCUGUAGUUUCCUAAUGUCAAACUGGAAAGUAUAAGGUGAACUAAAGAGAUGAGAACUGAUUCCAGUACUGUUGAAUGGAAAUAAUGUAAAUCAAGGCUACCUUCUCGACCUGUUUUUUUUUUCUUUCUGGUGUUGAACCUGGUGAGUUUAUGAGCACCCGCUGAGUUCCUAUACGUUUACAGAGAGCAGGAGAAACACUUAAAACUCAAAUUAGUCUUCAGAUACUAUAGACAUAGAUGCCGAUUAAGUUUUUGUGUUAGUGCGACUUUGAUGUUCUGAGGUUUUGGGAUUGCCUGAGCAUUUUAUGUAACGCACGAUUUUCUGGUUACAAAACUUUGUGGCUGCUUGUCAAUUGGACAGUCUUAAUGAGCCUUACAAAUGGAUCCAAAAGUUAUGUGGGAAUUAAAUGUAAAAUCCAAGUGAUUCAAUGUUAGUUUAGUUUACUAACUAUUUAGGUAACCCAAACGUACUGAACUACAGGAGAGGCCUCAAGGUUUAAAGAAACAAAAAUAAGAGAAAUAUACAUUUGAAUAAGAGUUUAACCAUAAUCAUGCAACACCAGUGGAGCAACCAUCACUUGCUGGUUUAACACACAGUGUCAGACACUUAACUUGGUGAUCAAUUCAUCCCAAAUGUCUGGGAUGGUCUCAUGGAUCUUCUAUUAUCUUCACUUCAUUUCUUAUGAUACAAACUCCAAAUUCUGAAAGCUAUUGGUUACAGGACACACACAUACAAAAAGAAGUAAUUUGUUCCAAUAUUAUUCACAUUUUUCAAUAUAAAAUAGUAUAUCAGCUGGUUAGCACUUAGCAUACAUGACUAAUCGCCUGAGAUGGCUUUGUCCAUGAAAAUUCUUGACGCUACUACUCCUGAAAGGUGGCGAAUACAAAGGAGAUGGCCGUGAAAGGUGGAGUCAUCCUACCAAGUCGCCCCGGUCUGAGUACAAGUUCUAGGAAGUAUUAGGAAUUAUACAAUCAGGGGGGAAUGUGAUGUAUAUUGGUGUUGGCUAUGUCUCCUCCCAGUUAAAUUAAAGUGUAUAGAUUAAUUUUAAUUACUAAGAAAAUUUGAAUAUCGAUUCUUAGACGUGUGUAAAAUUCUAAGGCAUUAAGGAAAUGAACAUUAUUAUAUGUAUUACAGUUGGAUAUAAACUAUAAAACAAAUGAUUAUAUAUGAAUAUGUAAUCAAUUUAUUUAUAUAGUACUAAGAAAUAAAAAUUAAUUUUGUGUUAUUAUAAUGGUCUAAUCAGCUGAAUAAAAUAAUAAAAUUUAAUAAUUUGUUUGAUAAUUUACGUCUUUGUCAUUUCAGAAUUAUUAUAAAAGAUUCCCUUAACUAAUAUAUCAGAUAAAUUUCUAACUUAGCAAAAUUACAUUAAUUACAAGUAAGGAAAAUUACAGCAUGAUGCAAUCUUCAUAAGAGUUACACAAUAAUUUUUAGAAUUAACAUUAUUUAUCUUCUUUUUGUCUCAAUGUAUAAAUGAUUUUUUUAAGAAAUUUUUUAAGAAUGUUUAAGAAUUUACACAUUCUACCCUAAUGAGUUGAGUUGGAAAAUAUCAUUUUUAGACUUAAUGGGUCCACCUUAACAAAUAAUAUCAUUUUUAACAAUUCAGACUUUACUUAUAAUUUUUUAGCAUAAUUAGUCACUGGUAAUACCAAUUCAAUAUCGCUAUCUUCAUUAAAAUUCAAAAAAUGAUUUCAAAUCAUCAACUAUCAAUCAUUAAAAAAACUUCUUAAAAUCAAAGAAAAUAUCAUCGCAUGUGCUAGCCAAUAUUCGAGGGGCAACAUCUAUAAUAUUACGAAAUCAUCAACAGUUUUAGUCAAGGCCGCUCAAAUCAAACGGCGUACAAAAAUAUAAACUUCAACAUUUUGACAACAGUUCUUUCCCGCUGGUAACACCUAUGCUUAUUACACACGUUUUAAUUCAAAUUAGUCACUAAAAUAGAACUUCAAAUGUCAUUCCUUCCAUAUACUGUCAACAUGGUACUAAAGAGUAUAAGUAUGUUUUCUAAAUAAAAUAUCAACUUUACUUUAUGUUUAAAUUCCAAUUAAAUUAACUUUGUUACGACUAUCGGUUUUUUAUUCUAUUUUUAUCGAAUCGAUAAGUCACAACCACUUAUGAUAUUCUACCUUGAACUAAUCAACUUUAAAACAAAGUAAUACAUUACAGUCGCUAACCACUAUCAAAUGGAUAUCAUUCACUUUCAACAUAUUUUCAUAUUCAUAUUUUUGAACAUAUUUUCUUUACUAAAACCAUAAAAUGAAUUGUAAAUUCAUUUAAGAAAAAACAUAUGAACCCGGCGCUACCACUAGUAUAUAUACAUAUAGAUAUAGAUAGAUAUUUAUUUAUUUGUUAUUUAUGUGUUGUUAUAUUUUAAUAUUCUAUUUCUAAUAUUGUAUGGAAUUUAGAAUUUUUAUCCUGAGUGGCAAGGAAGAGAAAUUGGAGAUGCCAAGGUUCUUAUCGUUGGGCAUGGGUUAGUCGGUUGUAAUAAUGCGGAUGGGCUAGAGUAAUAAUGUGGGCUAGAGUAAUAGUUCGGAUGUAAUAAUUGGGUAAUGAACCCGAUUAAUAAUGUUAUGUGGCUUCUUCUAGAAUAAUUUUUUUUCGUUGAGGUGGACACUUCCUAGAACUUCAAAAAAUUUCUUUUAUUAAUAUAUAUAUACUAGAUAUGAGCCCGUGCGUUGCAACGGAUUUUGUUGGAUGUUUUAAUUUAAUAGAGAAAUAAAUAAUUUUAUUAUACUUUUAGGAUUAUUUUUGCAUAUGAUGUGUGAGACUUAUUUUAUAAUUAAAAACUCGUUUUUACACAUAAACUACAGUUAAUAUUUGUAUUUUAUAAUCAUAGUGCAUAUGUGAAUUUUUAUCAAUUUUCUAAUAAGUGCUAGAGAAAACACUCAUAUCUAUAACUUUAAACCCAACCCAACUCAAAUUAAGAAUUAGAAUAUAAAAAAACU